AGCCUAUCCGGCACCCUGACGUCAGGACGCAAUCACUCACGUAGUAAAAUAUGGAGAGCUUGGGCGAGUACUAUUUUUACAUCUUCCUACUGGACCCCCAAAUCUACGCGCGGCACCGUCCGCACGUAUGCAGGCGUAGGUCUUCGGCGAGGGGGAGCUAUGUUGUUUGGAGCGAGGAUGAAGCCGUUGAAUGGAGAAGAAUAUUCCAGCCUGCGCGAGAUUACGCCGGUAGAAUCCAAGAUGUAUCCGCUUAACCCCACGCAAAGCGACGUGAACCCAAAACCUAGUUUCAGUAACCGUCUUGCAGCUCUCUUGAGCACGGGAGCAUCCGAAUGGUUCCCAAGCACCUUUCGGUGGCUGUCGGCUUCGCCUUUAUUUUCCUUUAGUGUUCUAUCCUCCAUCUCUGUCAAUGUCAGUCACAUUUUCGUCUCCUCCUUCCUGCGCAGCUUUUUGGUCCGCAUCACGUGUAAAGGAAUAACAAGCGCGUGCACCAUUGUCGUGUUCAUUUGGUUUUAUUCUAACGUCUGUAGCCCGAAAGACUCGCUCGCGUGCUAUUUAAGGUGGCGGGGAUGCCUUUCUAACUGAAGCUGCGUAUUCCGGUCCUUUACUCUCGUGGUCGUGCCAAACUGGGCACGAACAAUUCCGUCACGAGGCACUGGAACGGUGCCAUGGACGCUGUCAGACGGACUACGUUCAUUGAACGAAGGGGGAAAAGUUAACCCGAAAUAUUAGAAAAUAAUUGUACGGACCGUGGUAUCUGUGAAGAAUGUGUGUUUUUAAUUAAGCAUUUUAGAGACAGAAUAGAUAUGCUAGCGUGCCUUUAUUGAACUAUACCACUACAUCACUGUAAAGAGGCCGUCCCCGAACUGUGACAAUCGUCGUAAUGGGCGGUGGAAGUUGCUGGGCUAUGUGUCGAGUUCACGUAUAACGGGUAAACGCUAGCCUAUCUAGCACUGCCUAUAGCUUUUUUGUCCUGUAAAUAGGGGCACAUUUUCGGUUGUGCGGAAUUAAUAAGUCCCCCUCGCUGCUGUUAGUCACCUCCCCUUCCCCCCCCCCCCCUCUCUCUCUCACGCACACACACACCCACACCCACCCACCACACACACACACACACACACACACACACACUACUUCAGCUGCGCAUAUGCCUUGCCUAACAAAACGAUUCAGGAACAGGACGUAACAAGGAAAGAAAAAAAAACCUUCACACACAGCUGGAACAAAAGACUGAAUUUCACAAUGAAUUGGGGGAGCUACUCGGUUUGGGUUUCUGCGCACGUUCACGGCGGCCGGGUUGAGUGGAGGGACCAACAACAGACUUCAACAGAUACUCUCCGAGGCGGUGAGAAAAUACGACCUCGGCCUGGAUGCUAACAGAAUUCGGAGAAGCUCGUGGCUCAAAACUCUGUCUCGGGCCAGUCAAGCACGAGUAAUCUCCGGGUUUGAAAUAAACUGCUCUGGAUGGGACAGACUCAAAAAAUACCGUCCGUGGUCCUGCGAAGUAGCGCUUUAAAGACAAGCCGCAUUGUUAUUAACUUUUUUUAUCUUUUAUCCUUGCUGUUUGUUGGCUUUUUUCUCCUCCGAUGGACGUCGUUCUGUAGUACAGGUGUUCAGACGGUAAUUGCCGAAAUCCAAGCGUUUUUCCUGUUUAUAAAAAAGAAAAAAACAAAGUGCUGAAAUUUGGGACGUGUUGUCGUUAUUUUGGAUUAUGCCACAGAUCCUCCAUGAAGUGGGUCGGUGGAGACAGGGAUGAGGAGGUUGAACUGGCCCAGGAAUCGCCCACAUCAGAGACGGAAGUUAGAGCAGGUGGUGCAGGGUACCUGGACUGUCAGUGACUCCCCCCGCUCUGGAAAAAGGCAGUCACUGCACCUCCGCAGGUGAGGGAGCACCUGGCAGCCAGUCCACCUGGAACACCUGCAGGUCCGUCUUUGCAGGAGGAGGAAGAGGAGGAGGAGGAGGAGGACUGAAGAGGCCGCGUUUCAGAGGGAACCUCCUGGGGGGUCAGGAUGGAACCUCAUGAAGCAUCAUCCCUCUAUCCCUCCAUCUCUCCUCUGCCUCCUGCCUUCCCCCCCCCCCCCCAGGAAAGGAAGUGAUGGAGAGGGGGGAGGGGAAAUGAGCUCACUUCCUCUCUGCUGACGUCACAGUGGAGUGACUGGAGGGAUCGAUACAGAGGCGGGGGGCUGAUUGGGGGGGGGGUUGGGGGGGUGCUGAACAGUACCCCAUGGCUCUGCUUUGGGCCCCUGUCCUACAGCUGAAACCUCGCCCUGGACCCCUCCCCCCCCAGCCUGCACCUGUGUAUUUUUGUUGCAGGGUGCGGGAGAGACCUUACUUAAAAGAACAUCACAACACCCCACUCUCACUGCCCCCGGUUGCCAUAGGCACUGUUUUCUGUGGUUCGGUUUUCCUGUGCACAAACCAGCGUGCCAUUAGGACAGAGGAAGGCCUUUUUUGGACCAUGAAAGUCCAAAAGCAAAAAAAAAAAGCAAAACUACCAGGAACUCUGAUCCAGUGAAAUCUCGCCUGGAGAGGAUUGGUCCAAUCACGCGCUGGCGUUUGCGUCGGACUGCUGGAGGGAAUCUGGGGAACGGGUUCGGACCUGGGACGUCCUGCCUGAGGAGGGGGAGGUUUUCGGAGCGUGAGGAACGUCCCCUCGGGCUUCUGGCACAGGUGGUGUCAGGGGAUUCGUCGAGAAACUAGCCAACCAGGCGAGGCCGUGCACAUCGGAGAGUGACCUCAGAAGCCCAUCAGCACACCUCAGUCUCUGGAAUUGUUGGAAGAUCCGAGAUUCCAA